AUGGCGCAGGCUGCUAUUGAAUCUGCUGUGAGUGGUGGCGCGUUGAUUGGGAGACCGGCAGGGGUCCCGAGGAUGAAGAGAAAGACUCCCUCGGAGCUGCGGGGAGAACAAUAUAAGAGACACACUUCUGAAAAGAUUGCUGAUGAUCAGUUAUUUGCUUCUGCAGCAUUUGAUAGGCCAAAUAAUGGGCUUCGGAAUAUGGAACAACAAAAAAUACCCAAAUAUAUCAACACUCGUGUUACAGAGGUGUUCCCAGUUAAAAAAUCCAGAAAUGCUGGAAAGGAAAACUGUAAGGAUGCUUUACUCAAUAAUGAGAAGGUUCCCAAAUUUGCUGAUACUGUAACUACUUCACAUUCCGUGUCAUCUUCAUUCCUGCGCGGUGACUCUGUUAAGUUGGACUCUUCUAUUCCAUCACUUGUGGAGGCAGCGAAACCAAGUUUCAGGAAAGCUGAGAAAUACAGUGAAAAUGCUCUACGGAGUGUAUCCGACCUACACAUCGGUGAUGACAAGCAACCUGCCUCGAACAAAUUUGAUAUGGAAAAAGUGAUGAAAGGGUUUGGAGCUCGUGAUGCUUCUGGAGCUUCCAAUGCCCCUAACGUACAAGUUGGUGAUCUUCCUUUGAAGUCUUCAGAAGUGUGCCCUUCUAAGAUAAAAAUUCCAGGAAAAAGAGCUCCUUUGGAUCUCACUUUAAAGACUGCUCUGCAGUUCGUUUCAUCAUCUUCUGUGAAGUGGUGUCACAAUUUGAGUAUUGCUGGGCCCAUCACUCAGAGUUAUCGUGGUGGGUCUCAAAAUUCACGAUGCGCAAGGCCUGGGAAGGAAUUCUUGUUCUCAAGGGCACUGCAAUCAUGGGUAUAUCCACAGUCCCUGUUACCUGCAUCCAUCAUAUCUGCUAUGCUCUCAUCAACUGCACGAGGAGAAAAUGAGUUCCUUCUCAAGAGGUAUCAGGACUGGGAAGACUCGUUUCAGAAUCUUUACUACAUGCUCCGCAAGAAUCAAUUGAACAUCUUUUAUGUUUAUACAGCACAAUUUGUUGCUCUAUUCAUCCGUGGAAAUUGUUUGGAGAAGCAGCCCUGUAAUGCCUACUUGUCACAAUCUACACGUGGCAUACGGUCACUACUGCGAAAACAUGGUGUUCGCUUUUCUAUGCCUCUUUGCAAUGCUGAAGUGGAGCAGGUUACUGACGAUGACCUGAUGGAAUUUUCAAAAAUCCAAACACUCAAUCUGGGCCAGACACUUCAUAUAGAUGCUUUAUCUGAGGUGGACAACACUACAGAGUCACUCCUUUCGUUUACUGGCAAUAAGAGCGUUCAUGGCUUAUAUGAUGUCUUGUUGAACUACAAGUCCUUUCUGAAUUCAUUAUCCGCCACAGACGUCCCAGUGUUAUAUUCACCGGCGCCAUUUCAAAAUGGUUGCCUCCAUAUUCCAGAGGUCAUAUGCAGGGAGAUGAGGAAAGCUGAUACUGGCCUGGCCUCCUCUAUUGGUUUAGAUGAAGAACCUGGAUCAGCGUUCGCUCCUCCGCCAGGCAACAUGUGUUACAGCAUGGAAAUAAAGGAUGUGGUUAUCCCACCGUGGGUUGCCUCCGGCAUUUGUGCCGCGAUGAGCUCAGACACGGAUCACUUUGAUUUAACAAUCGGGACAGAGCCCUCCUCCAUGGGCUUAAACGCCGCUUUCACCUCCAUAGGCGCGAGCGGUCAGUCAAAGGCUCCUUCAGAGUCCUCUCCUGAAGGGUGCGAGGCCAUUGGCAUUCCCAGCGCCGUCUUGGUUCGCUCCUUGCACUCUGCCUCGCUCCGGCGCCUCAGUUACAACCACGGCGAAUACCUCGCGCACACAACCGUGUGA
rnacentral:rRNA from 1 species